rnacentral:rRNA from 1 species
UACGUAGGUGACCAGCGUUGUCCGGAUUUACUGGGCGUAAAAAGCGCGCAGGCGGUCGUUCAAGUCGAGUGUGAAAGCCCCCGGCUCAACUGGGGAGGGUCACUCGAUACUGAUCGACUUGAAGGCAGGAGAGGGAAGCGGAAUUCCCGGUGUAGUGGUGAAAUGCGUAGAUAUCGGGAGGAACACCAGUGGCGAAGGCGGCUUCCUGGCCUGUUCUUGACGCUGAGGCGCGAAAGCUAGGGGAGCAAACGGG